rnacentral:pre_miRNA from 1 species
AGAGGAGCUGGACAAGUACUGGUCUCAGCAGAUUGAGGAGAGCACCACAGUGGUCCCCAUGCAGUCUGCCGAGGUUGGAGCUGCUGAGCUGA